CAUUCUUAACUGCAUUUAUUGGAUAAUAAAUGCAAUUAAUAAUAGAUGCAACAAGUGUGCCGAAUGUUUACAUGUGGGUUCUGAAUGUCCCAUAUGCGAAUCUUGCCACACAUGGAGAGUGGCCUCGUCGCUAAAAAUGAGAGCCUCAGCAAAGCUGUCCUCCAGACGGUCUUGCAAAAGAAUGCAAAAUUCUUUAAGACACACAAAAUCGGCUGGUGUGAGAGUCUGCAACAGUUGCAGUUUGUGCAGUUUGACGUAAAGACGUGUUUCCGUAGAAUCUGCCACACAAUCGUUUGCGACAUUUGUAGUUCCGUCGUUGGCUUACGGGACUGCGUUGGUAGCUCAGCACGCC
rnacentral:lncRNA from 1 species